rnacentral:rRNA from 1 species
GACGAACGCUGGCGGCGUGCCUAAUACAUGCAAGUUGAGCGCUGAAGGUUGGUACUUGUACCAACUGGAUGAGCAGCGAACGGGUGAGUAACGCGUGGGGAAUCUGCCUUUGAGCGGGGGACAACAUUUGGAAACGAAUGCUAAUACCGCAUAAAAACUUUAAACACAAGUUUUAAGUUUGAAAGAUGCAAUUGCAUCACUCAAAGAUGAUCCCGCGUUGUAUUAGCUAGUUGGUGAGGUAAAGGCUCACCAAGGCGAGGAUACAUGGCCGACCUGAGAGGGUGAUCGGCCACAUUGGGACUGAGACACGGCCCAAACUCCUACGGGAGGCAGCAGUAGGGAAUCUUCGGCAAUGGACGAAAGUCUGACCGAGCAACGCCGCGUGAGUGAAGAAGGGUUUCGGAUCGUAAAACUCUGUUGGUAGAGAAGAACGUUGGUGAGAGUGGAAAGCUCAUCAAGUGACGGUAACUACCCAGAAAGGGACGGCUAACUACGUG